rnacentral:lncRNA from 1 species
AAGAAAACAAAUUAUAAAAGCUUAUAAUAUGUAGUUGUAAUUGAAGACUCUUAAUGUACAAAUCAGCAAAUGAAAUAUGUAUAUAUAUACACACACAAACCCACUAUAUAACUGUGAACUUAACUUCUCAUCCUGUCCCCUUGCCACUUGUUAUGUAUCUCCAAAUUUAUGUAAGCUGGUGGCUGAGUAGAUUUUCUAUAAAAAAAAUUAUUUUCUCCCAAAUUUGUUACUAUUUGAUUCACAUAAACAAUAGUUUCUAUUACAUGAUUUGAAACAGAACAAAACACUUUGAAGAUGUUAAAAUCUCCUAGGUUAGAAUAACUUAACCAGAUGAUUAUUUUUGGAAAAGUGAAAAACACUUGUACACCCAGAUUUUUAUAUAUAAAAUACACUUUGGAUCUUGCAUUUCAAAUAAUUUUUCAUCACAAUUGAAGAGAUGAUUAAAGAAAAAGAAUUCAUUCAUUUAG